rnacentral:rRNA from 1 species
CUAAGAUGAGGCGGAAGCGCGUAGUCGAUGAGAAUUCGGUUCAUAUUCCGGAACCAUAUAUAAGUUCGAAGGGAUGACGCAUGAGGUGGAGCACUGCCGGCUGACGGAAUAGCCGGUUUACUUAGCGAGCCUAUGAGGUAGCGAGGGAAAACCAGCUACUGAGGUGAGCUAAGGAGGGAGAGAAGCUACGGCGGAACGAAGAGUGCCGAAUCAAGGUGCCAAGAAAGAGUCUCUAAGGACAACUUAUAUAUGACCGUACCGUAAACGGACACACGUAGGUAGGAUGAGAAAUCUAAGGCGCUCGAGAUAACUCGCGUUAAGGAACUCGGCAAAAUGCACACGUAACUUCGGGAGAAGUGUGGCCUGAGCGAUCAGGUUGCAGAUAAUAGGCCCAGGCGGCUGUUUACCAAAAACACAGGACUCUGCGAACGCGCAAGCGGAAGUAUAGGGUCUGACGCCUGCCCGGUGCUGGAAGGUUAAGAGGAGGGGUUAGCGGGAAACUGCGAAGCUCUGAAUUGAAGCCCCAGUAAACGGCGGCCGUAACUAUAACGGUCCUAAGGUAGCGAAAUUCCUUGUCGGGUAAGUUCCGACCCGCACGAAUGGUGGAACGAUCUGGGCACUGUCUCGACGCGAGACUCGGUGAAAUUUAAGUACCGGUAAAGAUGCCGGUUACCCGUGGUUAGACGGAAAGACCCCAUGAACCUUUACUGUAGCUUAUCAUGGGGACUUGGCUUUACAUGUGUAGGGUAGGUGGGAGACAGGGAAGCAUGGCCGCUAGGCUGUGUGGAGUCGUUGGUGAAAUACCACCCUUGUAAGGCUAGGUUUCUAACUCAGUUUGUAAAUCCAGGCUGAGGACAGUGGUAGGUGGGCAGUUUGACUGGGGCGGUCGCCUCCUAAAAGGUAACGGAGGUGCGCGAAGGUUGCCUUGCGCUGGGUGGAAAUCAGCGCUUAAAGUGUAAAGGCAUAAGGCAGCUUGACUGCGAGUCCGACAGGACGAGCAGGUACGAAAGUAGGUCUUAGUGAUCUGGCGGUAGCGAGUGGAAGCGCCGUCACUUAACGGAUAAAAGGUACUCUGGGGAUAACAGGCUGAUCUUGCCCAAGAGUUCACAUCGACGGCAAGGUUUGGCACCUCGAUGUCGGCUCAUCGCAUCCUGGGGCUGGAGCAGGUCCCAAGGGUUUGGCUGUUCGCCAAUUAAAGCGGUACGUGAGCUGGGUUCUGAACGUCGUGAGACAGUUCGGUCCCUAUCUGCCACGGGCGUUGGAUGGUUGAGAGGAGCUGCUUUUAGUACGAGAGGAUCGAAGUGGACGAACCUCUGGUGUACCAGUUAUCCUGCCAAGGGUAAAUGCUGGGUAGCUAAGUUCGGAAGGGAUAACCGCUGAAAGCAUCUAAGUGGGAAGCCCACCUCAAGAUGAACCAUCCCCGGGGAUUAAAUCCCCCUUAAGGUACCAGACAGACUAUCUGGUUGAUAGGCUGGAGGUGGAAGUGCGGUAACGCAUGGAGCCGACCAGUACUAAUCUACCGUGAGGCUUGACCAU